rnacentral:lncRNA from 1 species
CGAGGAUGACAACUCAGGGAUCGGUCUCUGGGGCUCAAGAAGAAUCGCCCGACGGGCUACUCGGGCCCAGCCUUCGCCCCGCAGCCCACGCCGCCCUCUCGCUUCCCGGGGCCUCCGCGCUCCCUUCCUCCUCACACCUCUACUUCCUCACCUCCGCUCCUGCCUCCGCGCCUUCCUCCCUUUCGGUUUUAUUUUUACUUUCCACGCCGGAUGGGAGCGAGGGCAGGGUCGAGGAUGCCAGCGGGCAGUAGCAACGCCAAGCCCUCGUCGGCAUCCGGCGCCUGAACCUCUGGGGUCGCUCUCAAUCGAACUCUGCCACGCACGAAAGCUGCCAGACACCGGAACAACCUCCCCCCAGAACCAGCCGAGCAGGAACCGGCGGGUUCGGCGCCGGCCUGAACGUCGCCCGCCCGCAGCGUCGCCAACGUCGGCACGUCGGCUCCCUCCCACCCUCCCACGGUCCGCUAGCGUGCGCGCGCCGCUGGUCCGCCUCCAGCGCUCAAGGAGAGGAAGCUGGGAGGGGCCGGCCUGCGGGGUGGGGCCGGAUGCCUCUGGUCCCGGGCGUUGGGGGUCUCGCGGGAAUCCGCAGAGUGCUGACUUGCGGCUCAGGCUCACAACCCGGAAUCCUUCCCUGCGGUUACCUGAGUAUGCUGUGUAUUCUUCACGUCCUUUUCUGCAACAUGAGCACUUGGGAGAAAUAACUCCUAUUAAAGAAAGAAAGUGGGCACAAGUCCCAAUAAUUCCAUUCCUCAAACUGGACCCAGGGACUGAGAACUGCAGAUGGUUUUCCCUCAGACCUUAUCGAGUCUUUCAAGAAAGUAAAUCAAAAUGUAAACGAUCGUCCACGGUUAUUGGGAAUGCCGCAAUAUGUUUUCAUCAAUUGUAAAAAAUGUACCAUACAAAUAAAGGAUAUUGUUUAUGGGGGAAGUGUCCUUAUAAUUUUUC